rnacentral:rRNA from 1 species
UACAGAGGUCUCAAGCGUUGUUUCGGAUUCAUUGGGCGUAAAGGGUUGGUGUAGGUGGCGCCGUAAGUCGGGUGUGAAAUUUCGGAGCUUAACUCCGAAACUGCAUUCGAUACUGCGGUGCUUGAGGACUGGAGAGGAGACUGGAAUUCAUGGUGUAGCAGUGAAAUGCGUAGAGAUCAUGAGGAAGACCAGUGGCGAAGGCGGGUCUCUGGACAGUUCCUGACACUGAGACACGAAGGCCAGGGGAGCAAACGGG